rnacentral:sRNA from 1 species
AAUAAAGUUAUAACUUGUUCAUCUCAUAUUUCGCAGAGGAAUGAGUUGAAUAUCGCAGAGGAAUGAGUUGAAUAGUAUUCAACUUUUU